UACGUGAGGGUGCGAGCGUUGUCCGGAAUUAUUGGGGCGUAAAAGAGCUUGUAGGUGGUUUGUCUGCGUCUGCUGUGAAAAUCCGAGGCUCAACCUCGGACUUGCAGUGGGUACGGGCAGACUAGAGUGUGGUAGGGGAGACUGGAAUUCCUGGUGUAGCGGUGAAAUGCGCAGAUAUCAGGAGGAACACCAAUGGCGGAAGGCAGCACUUCUGGGGACG
rnacentral:rRNA from 1 species